rnacentral:rRNA from 1 species
AUGAAGAUACCACUUAAGAAUAAAAUCUUUACAUGGUACCUUCGUCGCGGAGUCAUUCUUACUAAAGAUAACCUUAUUAAGAGGAAUUGGCAUGGAAGUCCGCAAUGUGUCUUUUGUCAUCAUGAUGGGACAAUAAAACAUUUAUUCUUUCAAUGCAAAUUGGCUCAUUCUACAUGGUCAGUCAUCCAAAUAGCUUCUGGCUUGUAUCCUCCUUGUAGUGUUGCUAAUGUAUUUGGCAACUGGUUACAUGGGAUUGAUCACAUGUUUAGAACUCUUCUCAGGGUGGGAGUGCUUGCCGUUAUUUGGUCACUUUGGCUAUGUAGAAAUGAUAAUGUUUUUAACGAUAAAAGUACUUCUCUGAUGCAUGUUAUCUACAGAUGUACCGGGACUCUUCGUUUAUGGUCCUGUCUACAAUGCAUGGAGAAUCAAGACCUAUUUACGAAGGUGUGUAAACGAUUGGAGGCUACGGUGAGGGAUACUUUUAUCCAACAUGGGUGGCAGCAUGAUCUUAGGAUUGGCCCCUCCAUUUUAGGCGUUAUACAGUCUCUUCAUGUAUGUGUAUUUCACCUUUUUAUUUUUCGUUUGUGUGAGAGGACCUUAUUUGGCUGUGUGCAUCUUAGUUAUGAAGAGGCCGUGUGUAAUGCUUAA